UACGAAGGGGGCUAGCGUUGCUCGGAAUCACUGGGCGUAAAGGGUGCGUAGGCGGGUCUUUAAGUCAGGGGUGAAAUCCUGGAGCUCAACUCCAGAACUGCCUUUGAUACUGAGGAUCUUGAGUUCGGGAGAGGUGAGUGGAACUGCGAGUGUAGAGGUGAAAUUCGUAGAUAUUCGCAAGAACACCGAUUGCGAAGGCAGCUCACUAAGCAGACAUUGACGCUGAGGCACGAAAGCGUGGGGAUCAAACAGG
rnacentral:rRNA from 1 species